UACGUAGGAGGCAAGCGUUGUCCGGAAUUACUGGGCGUAAAGCGCGUGUAGGUGGUGGGACAAGUCUGCUGUGAAAGCGCCUGGCUUAACCGGGCGAGGUCGGCGGAAACUGUCGCACUCGAGGACGGUAGAGGGGGGGUGGAAUUCCCGGUGUAGUGGUGAAAUGCGUAGAGAUCGGGAGGAACACCUGUGGCGAAGGCGGCCCCCUGGGCCGGCCCUGACACUGAGACGCGGAAGGCGUGGGGGAGCGAACGGG
rnacentral:rRNA from 1 species